AUUUCCUAUUCCCUUAAUAACUUGAAAGCCACAAUCUUUCCCCUAAACUUUGGUACCGAUUAUGCAUAGAAACAUGCUGUGUUGUUGUCCUAUAUAUGUUGGCUAUUGGUGAACAACUUAAAAAUAUUUCUACUUGAAAAGAAAAUCAUAUAUUCCAUAUGAUAUCUAAUUACUCAAAAUAAUUUGGAAGUUAAUUUAAAAGAUCUAGCCGACAUUGAACUAAUUGAAAGCUAGUGCUGUUGAGAUGAGAACUGAAGCUGGUUUUAGAUGGUAACAUUUUCUACUGCCAAAGGUGCGGGUAAUUGUUUUAAUGGUUGUUGUUUUCAUUUUAGGUAGUACACAUAUAUGACUAUUGAUUAUGUCUCGUGUUUUGUAGGCUAGAGUCGGUGGAGAAACCGGGCUGAAAGGUGUGAUUCAAAGUACUUGGAUAUUAUGUUUUAGUGGCAAAUACAGUACAAUUAAACAUUUACCAGCGUAUAUAUUCCUGGAGAAGUUUACACCUAAUAGAGUCUUUCCAUGAAGUUUAUAUUCCCUGUGAAGAGGUUGUAAAUUGUGAAGAUGCAGGGGAUCUUUUGUGCUGUGAAUCUGUGAUCGAUGUGAAGGGGCUUUUCAUGAUUAAAAAAAAAAAAAAGAUUUUUAAUCAUUGUUGAUCUUGAUGCUUCCAUAGGCCAUAAUUUCAGCAGUAAUUUUGGUCAUUGCACAAUUAGUUUCUAUUACCAGGUAGUUUAUAUUUAGUUCACAUCUUGACUUUUCAAGCCCUAUGUUUGAAAUGCUUUGCAUUUCCAGUUUGUUUUUUUAGAUACCAUAUUACAUGUACUGUUCCCUGUUUGCAGUUCUACCACCCUGUUAUAUGGGGCGAAGACUUUGGUGGGGUCUCCUUAUAUUUUAGCAAACUGUUAGUUGUGUCAGCUAAAAUGUAUCCUUGUUUAUAUGCAUGGAGAAACUAUGUGCUGCCAGCGGCUGAUGAAGCUGAAUCAAUAUGGACAAAAUGUGGAUUUAUUAGACCAAGAUGAGGAUUACUGAGAAACCAUAUCAUACCAUCGGCUGAUGAAGCUGAAUCAAUAUGGACAAAAAAUUGGUUUUAUUAGACCAUGACCAAGAUGAGGUUAAUCAGUACAAGAAACAUUACCGUAUUGAAUUAUUUGUGCUGCAAGUCAAUCCCCGCAUGUUGAAUCAUUGGGUCUCAGGUACUGUUGGGAGUACCCCUAAAAUUUCUUGAAAAUGGAGAAGUGAUGCAGCCCAACUUGCAAAUGUGCUCAUGGAGGAUCUUGAGUGAAGGAAGAAGGCUUCUGGAGUGGGAAGUUUUUAUUCUGCAGGAGACAAAUCAUGCGUAACCUCUGGUUGACCUUGGCUCGAGCAAGAAUGUGACUAAUCAUAGGACAAAAAAUUCUUACAGCCCUCGUGCAACAUUGGCUCAAGUGAAGUGACAGUUUUUAGUAAAGACUAUUUUGUAAUUUUGCCUUUUGCGUUGAACCCUAAAUUCUUUUUAAGCACAACGAAACCGGCUUGACCGCCUAGUUGUUGUUGUAGUUCAGUUUUAUGAAUAAGAACACU